rnacentral:RNase_P_RNA from 1 species
CAAGCUGACCGGGCGGUCGCGGGGCCGGCCACAGGCUGGCCCUGAGGAAAGUCCGCGCUCCACAGAGCACGGUGCUGGCUAACGGCCAGGCGGGGCGACCCGACGGCAUAGUGCCACAGAGAGGUGUAUUGCCUAAGCUGACCCCGCAAGGGGCCAGACGGCGAGGGUGAAACGGUGGUGUAAGAGACCACCGGCGUCCCUGGUGACAGGGGCGGCCAGGCAAACCCCACCGGGAGCAAGGCCAAGCAGGCGCGAUGGGGCUGCUCGUCCCGCGCCGGGUAGGCUGCUUGAGGCGGCGGGCAACCGUCGUCCCAGAUAGAUGACCGCCGCAUCCCCGCCGGGGAUGACAGAACGCGGCUUACAGGUCGGCUUGAGCG